rnacentral:misc_RNA from 1 species
UACCGAGUGCGGGUCCUUUGGGCCCAACCUCCCAUCCGUGUCUAUUGUACCCUGUUGCUUCGGCGGGCCCGCCGCUUGUCGGCCGCCGGGGGGGCGCCUCUGCCCCCCGGGCCCGUGCCCGCCGGAGACCCCAACACGAACACUGUCUGAAAGCGUGCAGUCUGAGUUGAUUGAAUGCAAUCAGUUAAAACUUUCAACAAUGGAUCUCUUGGUUCCGGCAUCGAUGAAGAACGCAGCGAAAUGCGAUAACUAAUGUGAAUUGCAGAAUUCAGUGAAUCAUCGAGUCUUUGAACGCACAUUGCGCCCCCUGGUAUUCCGGGGGGCAUGCCUGUCCGAGCGUCAUUGCUGCCCUCAAGCCCGGCUUGUGUGUUGGGUCGCCGUCCCCCUCUCCGGGGGGACGGGCCCGAAAGGCAGCGGCGGCACCGCGUCCGAUCCUCGAGCGUAUGGGGCUUUGUCACAUGCUCUGUAGGAUUGGCCGGCGCCUGCCGACGUUUUCCAACCAUUCUUUCCAGGUUGACCUCGGAUCAGGUAGGGAUACCCGCUGAACUUAAGCAUAUCAAUAAGCGGAGGA